rnacentral:rRNA from 1 species
GAUUUCUGGUAUGAUGCCCCUGAUCCGUGCCCUUUACGGGGUAUGUGUGUUGGUGUGGCGUCUGCCAUCUUAUGUGUAGAUGCUUUGUUCUCUUGGUGCCUUUACUGGUUUCAAGGAACUUAGGUUAUCAUCUACAUCUUUUACUUUGAAAAAAUUAGAGUGUUUAAAGCAGGCUUUUAGCCCUUGAAUACAUUAGCAUGGAAUAAUAAUAUAGGACUUCGGUUCUAUUUUGUUGGUUUCUAGUACUGAAGUAAUGAUUGAUAGGGAUAGUUGGGGGUGCUAGUAUUCAGCGGCCAGAGGUGAAAUUCUUGGAUUCGCUGAAGACUAACUUAUGCGAAAGCAUU